AACGCUGGCGGCGUGCUUAACACAUGCAAGUCGAACGAACCUUCGGGUUAGUGGCGGACGGGUGAGUAACGCGUGAGAAUCUGCCCUCAGGAGGGGGAUAACGGUUGGAAACGACCGCUAAUACCCCAUAUGCCUAUUGGUGAAAUGAAUUUCGCCUGAGGAUGAGCUCGCGUCUGAUUAGCUAGUUGGUGAGGUAAUGGCUCACCAAGGCUUCGAUCAGUAGCUGGUCUGAGAGGAUGAUCAGCCACACUGGGACUGAGACACGGCCCAGACUCCUACGGGAGGCAGCAGUGGGGAAUUUUCCGCAAUGGGCGAAAGCCUGACGGAGCAACGCCGCGUGAGGGACGAAGGCCUCUGGGCUGUAAACCUCUUUUCUCAAGGAAGAAGAUAUGACGGUACUUGAGGAAUAAGCCACGGC
rnacentral:rRNA from 1 species